AUAUCUUCAAAAUCCCUUUUCUUCAUAACCCUAUUUUCGAUUUCAAUUCUCAUCAGAAGUCCUUCAGGUGCAGAUUAAUCUUCAGAAGAGGUGCAGUAAUUUCUCAAAGAUCUUCAGAUAAUAUGGCUAGGGGACCUAGAAGUAGCAGCAUAUCUCGUCGGUCUGGAACUCCUACCACAAAUCAACCUAC